rnacentral:lncRNA from 1 species
UUCUCUUAUUAAUUCCAAUGAGUUUUCUUUCUCUUCUCCAAAACCUAAAUUCUAAACACAAAUUUUUAAGUCUAAUCAUCACCCAUCAUACAGCAGCAAACAGUUUUGAUAAGAGCAUCUAAUGCAUGGCCAUCACAGAACCUGAUCAAAUGACAACUAGUUAGAGAGCCUUGUCGUCCACCGCCUCUAUGCCUAGAGCCUAUGCAGAUGCUACCGGCAGCACUGUAGGGAUUUGUGUACUACGCAGUGGAAGAUGGCUCGU